UUGAUUAUGUAGAUUUUUUCCCCUCUACUGCAGUUUCAUAUGCAAAGCAUGCAUCAGCCACAUCCAUGCUAUCUCCUAAAGCAGUCAUUCUGAAACCCAAUCUGGGGACAGUGCAGACUAAAUAAAAUUUCAUUUUGAUUUGGCCUCCUGCUGCGAAUGGGACUGCUUUGUUUCAGCCGACAGAAUCAGCAAGCCAGAAAGGUUUCUUGAUGAUGGAAGUGUGAGCACUCGGAAUAGCCCUGAUCCAGGGUAGCUGCUGUCACCGUGGCUCUGGCAUCUCCGAACGACAGGAAAGAGGAAGAGUUGUGCCAAAGCUCAUAGAAUAGCAGUCAGAGCCAAGAGGAACUCAAGAGAUGAAAUAUUGUCAACAAGAUCAGGCGGAGGUCAUCAUCACAGAGACCCAAUCACGAUCUAGAAGAGCAAAGGGUAGAACAGAUAUACCCAUGAACUGUGAAAACGGGGAUGAAGUGAGAAGAGGAAACAGGAGGAAAGACAAGAAGAGAGAAGCAGUAUGAAAAGGUUUUCUCAAAAGUAGGGGCAAUAUCUAUAUAGCAGAAGAUGGUGUUAAAAUAAGGCAAGAAAUUAACCUGGCUCCAUGUGACUCAACAACAGUUUAUCAGAAGGCUGGAAAACUUCCUCCAAACAAAUUUUAAGCAGAAGCGAAGAAUUAAGGCAAUGAUAGUACCAAAAGAAUUCAGUGUUUCCACAACUCUUUUCACUCUCCCCAAUAACAAGAAAUGUGUACCUUUUGUACUUGAUUAUUUGUAUAUUCCUGGGGGGGAAAUAAGUGGAAUGGUUAGUUUUCCUCUUAAAAAGUCAUUAUAAUCAACUUAUUAUAUUCAACUUGACAAUUAUAAGUAAUACAUAUAAAAGCAAUAACAAAAGAAAAGAAACAACAAAAAUGAAUACAAGCACAAUUAAAGUGACUGAGAAUGCAACUAUAGACCUGGUAAACUGGAUUUUUAAAAAUAUGAGUGUGCGUACUCAUUUAUUACUUUGAAAAAAUAUAGCAACAAGAUUAAAUUGUAUGAUUUAUUUCUGUCACCUUACAAAUUUCUUUUUUGUAUAAAUGUAAAAUUUAGGGGGUAUUAUUAUAUUUGCUUUUAUUUACAUAGUUGUGGUUGAUAGAUUUGCAUCUCCUUGGCUCAUUUUACACUAUCUCUUUAUGUCUUCCUUUAUUUCUAUUUUUCAUAUUAUUUUUAUGGUACAAUAAUAUUCUAUUAAAUUCAUAGACCAUCAUUUUUCAGCUAUUUAUUUCCUAAAUGUUAGACUUAUAGUUAGUUUCUAUUACUUAUUUUCUAUUUUUAAAAAGUGAGGGCAAAUUGGUGCAAUGGAAUGUUCCCUAUGCCUCAAUUCCUCAUCUAUAAAAUAAUGGAACAAGACUAUAGGAUCGCUAAGGUCUCUUGAAGCUCUAAAUCCAGGAUCUUACUAGGAAAAUUUUUUUGUCUGCAAUUAAGUCUUUUUGUUUUCUAGUCAAUUACUGUCUUAGGGUAUAGUCCUAGUAAUAAGAUCACUGGGUCAAAGAUGAUUAAUAUAUUUGUAAUUAUUCUUGUAUGAUUCCAAAUUAUUAUCAUAAAAAGAUUUAAACAAUUCAAAAACCAUUAGUGGUAUAAAUGUAUCUCUUUUCAUUAACCUUGCCAACUUUGAAUUUUGUCAUGUUUUUUAUCUUCGCCAUUUUGAUAGGUUGCAAGUUAUUAUUUCAGAGUUAUUUUAAUGUACAUUUCCCUAAUAAGUAGAAAUGUGGAAUGUUUUUCUCAUACAGUUGGCGAUAAUUAUGAAUCUUGCUUUUUGUCUGCUUGUGUGCUUUGACCACUUAGCUAUUGGAGAAUUUAUUCAUAAACUUGCAUCGAUUUCUUAUAUAUUGAUAAUGUUUGAAUCAAGCAUCAGGUGGUUGAUUUAAAACAUUGUCUUCUUAUUCUGGAGAUUUGGGGUUUUGAUGUGUAAAAGCUAUAUACAUAUAUGUAUAGAUAUUUUCAUCUAUAUAGUAUAUAAUUUAAGUCCUUUAAUGUUUUAAAAAUAGUUUCUCCUAAUCACAAAUGGCUAAGAAUUUGUUCCCCUUUUUACAGUUUGGAAAGAUACCUGUACUCUUUUUAUAAAGUGAUUUUUAAAAUAUAUUUAGAUCACUGAUUUUAUUGUAUAUUGUGAUCACUGAGUUUAUUGUUAUGUGAUAUGUGUAUGAAAUUUGUAUCUACUUAUAUUUUAUAACCAACUGCUAGGCAGUUUUCCCAGUUUUUGUUGAAUAAAGAAUUCCUUCCUCACUUGUGCAACCUUAAGUAUACAUUUGGUUCUAUAUGACAACUAAAAGUUUUUAUCAAGAGUCGUGAAGAACAUUAUUAGCAUUUCUGUUUUGUAUUUAAAGCCCAUCAUAACCUGGCCUCAACUAUCUUCCCAGUUUUAUUUUCCAUUAUUCUUCCCAAAUUCCACAAUCCAGAUAAACUGGCUUUCUACUAUUUCUCACACUCAUUUUAAAAAAGCAAUGAAAAUAUCCAAACAUGGAUAGAAAAUUAAGUUAUGGUGCCAUCUAUUAGAAUAGAACAAAGCUUCAUGUAGAGCUGUGACUGGUCUUCAAGGAAUAAAGACAGAUAAUGAUAAUCAGA